UACGGAGGGAGCUAGCGUUGUUCGGAAUUACUGGGCGUAAAGCGCACGUAGGCGGCUAUUCAAGUCGGGGGUGAAAGCCCGGGGCUCAACCCCGGAACUGCCCUCGAAACUAGAUAGCUAGAAUCUUGGAGAGGCGAGUGGAAUUCCGAGUGUAGAGGUGAAAUUCGUAGAUAUUCGGAAGAACACCAGUGGCGAAGGCGACUCGCUGGACAAGUAUUGACGCUGAGGUGCGAAAGCGUGAGGAGCAAACAGG
rnacentral:rRNA from 1 species